rnacentral:rRNA from 1 species
GACGAACGCUGGCGGCGUGCUUAACACAUGCAAGUCGAACGGUAAGGCCCUUCGGGGUACACGAGUGGCGAACGGGUGAGUAACACGUGGGUGAUCUGCCCUGCACUUCGGGAUAAGCCUGGGAAACCGGGUCUAAUACCGGAUAGGACCACUGCCUGCAUGGGUGGUGGUGGAAAGCUUUUGCGGUGUGGGAUGGGCCCGCGGCCUAUCAGCUUGUUGGUGGGGUGAUGGCCUACCAAGGCGACGACGGGUAGCCGGCCUGAGAGGGUGACCGGCCACCCGGGGACUGAGAUACGGCCCAGACUCCUACGGGAGGCAGCAGUGGGGAAUAUUGCACAAUGGGCGCAAGCCUGAUGCAGCGACGCCGCGUGAGGGAUGACGGCCUUCGGGUUGUAAACCUCUUUCAGCUAUGACGAAGCGCAAGUGACGGUAGUAGCAGAAGAAGGACCGGCCAACUACGUGCCAGCAGCCGCCGUAA